AGAGAGAGACAUGCGCGCAUAUCAAUAAGCGGAGGAAAAGAAACUAACAAGGAUUCCCCUAGUAACGGCGAGUGAAGCGGGAAGAGCUCAAAUUUGAAAUCUUAAAGGGUUUCCCUUUACGAAUUGUAGUUUAAAGAAGUGUUUUCUGUUGAGGUUUUGGUAAAAGUUCUUUGGAAUAGGACAUCAUAGAGGGUGAGAAUCCCGUAUUUGACCUUUACUUUCAACUUUGUGAUACACUUUCAAAGAGUCGGAUUGUUUGGGAAUGCAGUCCAAAAUGGGUGGUAAAUUUCAUCUAAAGCUAAAUAUUGGCGAGAGACCGAUAGCGAACAAGUACCGUGAGGGAAAGAUGAAAAGAACUUUGAAAAGAGAGUUAAACAGUACGUGAAAUUGUCAAAAGGGAAGCGUUUGACACCAGUGUUGUUCUUCUGAAAAUCAAUUAAAGAACUGUUUAUGCUAAGCUGUUUAGACUUUAUCAGCUAAUCUGUUUAGUUUUGAGCUUUUCUUUAAUGCACUUUUCAGUUAACAAGUCAACAUCAAUUUCUUUUGCUGUAAAAAAGCUUGAGGAAGGUGGCUUGAGAUUCGUCUUAAGUGUUUAUAGCCUCUUGCCUAUGCAGUCGGAGAGAUUGAGGUCUGCAGCGUAGAUCCUUCGGGGCUAAAUGCAUUUGUGCUAAGUUAUAGCAUUUUAUAGACAACUUGUUGACUAUGAUUUGUCUUGUAGCUUACUCGCUUAUGUUAUUUUACCUACGCUUAGGAUGUUGACGCAUGAGAUAUACGC
rnacentral:rRNA from 1 species